GAUUGUCGUGGCACAGUUCAUUUAUUUAAUUGAGCUUUAUUUUGUGCUGAAUUGAAUUAUUUGUGAAAUUGGGAAUUAUUCUUUAAUGGAAUAAUCUUUGAUUACUAAUUGGAAAAUAACCGGGUGUCGGUUGACAGCACCAAAAGUGUUUUGGUGGACUACAGAAAAUGUGGGAGUUAUGGAAAUGAAAAUAUUAUAUUUUGGCUAAGGCCGAUCGUGUCCCCACACACGACUAUUUUAUCGAGAAGGAUAACAGAUGGAAUGGAUUGAAUGGUCGGAUAGUAUACUAUAUCAUCCUACGGGCUCUGAUAUGUCA
rnacentral:lncRNA from 1 species